GUGGGGAAUAUUGGGCAAUGGGGGAAACCCUGACCCAGCGACGCCGCGUGAGGGAAGAAGGCCUUAGGGUCGUAAACCUCUGUUGUGUGGGAAGAAGAGCGUGACGGUACCACACGAGGAAGUCCCGGCUAACUACGUGCCAGCAGCCGCGGUAAUACGUAGGGGACGAGCGUUGUCCGGAUUUACUGGGCGUAAAGGGCGCGUAGGCGGUCAUUUAAGUCAGCUGUGAAAUGGUUUGGCUUAACCGGAUCAUGCGGUUGAAACUGGAUGACUGGAGUGCGGGAGAGGCAAGUGGAAUUCCCAGUGUAGCGGUGAAAUGCGUAGAUAUUGGGAAGAACACCGGUGGCGAAGGCGACUUGCUGGCCAGCAACUGACGCUGAGGCGCGAAAGCCAGGGGAGCAAACGGGAUUAGAAACCCGGGUAGUCC
rnacentral:rRNA from 1 species